rnacentral:rRNA from 1 species
AGUGAACGCUGGCGGUUGGCCUAACACAUGCAAGUCGAACGGCAGCACAGUAAGAGCUUGCUCUUACGGGUGGCGAGUGGCGGACGGGUGAGGAAUACAUCGGAAUCUACUUUUUCGUGGGGGAUAACGUAGGGAAACUUACGCUAAUACCGCAUACGACCUACGGGUGAAAGCAGGGGAUCUUCGGACCUUGCGCGAUUGAAUGAGCCGAUGUCGGAUUAGCUAGUUGGCGGGGUAAAGGCCCACCAAGGCGACGAUCCGUAGCUGGUCUGAGAGGAUGAUCAGCCACACUGGAACUGAGACACGGUCCAGACUCCUACGGGAGGCAGCAGUGGGGAAUAUUGGACAAUGGGCGCAAGCCUGAUCCAGCCAUACCGCGUGGGUGAAGAAGGCCUUCGGGUUGUAAAGCCCUUUUGUUGGGAAAGAAAAGCGGCAGGUUAAUACCCCGCUGUUCUGACGGUACCCAAAGAAUAAGCACCGGCUAACUUCGUG